GGAGGGAGAUGGGACGUCUAGGAGGGCGGUCUCCGCCCGAGUCCUAGGGGAGAACGGAUGCAGGCGCCCUCCGUCUGCGCGCCUCCGGUCUUGUUAGGCCUCGGGGGCCUGGGUACGUUGCGGGAAGAAGCGGGGAGGACCGCAGGUGCUUCUCUUGGGACGUAGCUGUCCCGUCCCCCCACCUCCUGGCCGCUGGCGCCGCUGAUGCUACAAGUGCCCCAUUGUGUGGUGUAAGAACCUGGCCCACACCCUUGAAUGCAGGCCCAUGGAGAAGGGACGUGCUCCGUUAAGCAAGCUACAACGCAGGGGCGGAUCCCAGGGAGGCCAGAACUGCCCGGCUCCACACCAAAGAAACAGGUGGACAAAAAGGAAGCUUCUGAUGCCGACUCCACACCGGAGGGGUUUCUACAGCUGGCCCAUCCUGCUGCCACAAGAGGGCUGCUGUGGGGACGCUGAUGGAGCCGCCUCGGGCCUGUGCCGUGGAGUCUGUGUCAGGAUGUUUACAGCGCCCCCAAAACACAAUCUGACCUACUGGCAGCCAUUGGCGACCUGAGCCCUCUGCAAACACUUUCCUCAAUGGAGACGGAAUUUGGUGGCACCUUAAUGAUGGACUACUGGCCGCUAGAAUGGAGAAAAAAAUAAGCCUUGCUUCAGCCACCCAGUCUGUGGUCUCGGUUAUGGCAUCCAGAGCACAUGAAUACAACUGUCAUAAUAACAAUUCCUGUCAGACUUUCAAUAAGCUUGUGUCUUGGGGGAGGGUGAGGAAGGAAAAAAUUGUAACUGGAAUAAAACUCUUGGUCUAAAUGGAAAAUGCA